rnacentral:rRNA from 1 species
UACGGAGGGGGCUAGCGUUGUUCGGAAUUACUGGGCGUAAAGCGCACGUAGGCGGCUGUUCAAGUCAGAGGUGAAAGCCUGGAGCUCAACUCCAGAACUGCCUUUGAAACUAGAUAGCUAGAAUCAUGGAGAGGUGAGUGGAAUUCCGAGUGUAGAGGUGAAAUUCGUAGAUAUUCGGAAGAACACCAGUGGCGAAGGCGGCUCACUGGACAUGUAUUGACGCUGAGGUGCGAAAGCGUGGGGAGCAAACAGG